AUUGAACGCUGGCGGCAGGCCUAACACAUGCAAGUCGAACGGUAACAGGAAGAAGCUUGCUUCUUUGCUGACGAGUGGCGGACGGGUGAGUAAUGUCUGGGAAACUGCCUGAUGGAGGGGGAUAACUACUGGAAACGGUAGCUAAUACCGCAUAACGUCGCAAGACCAAAGAGGGGGACCUUCGGGCCUCUUGCCAUCGGAUGUGCCCAGAUGGGAUUGGCUAGUAGGUGGGGUAACGGCUCACCUAGGCGACGAUCCCUAGCUGGUCUGAGAGGAUGACCAGACACACUGGAACUGAGACACGGUCCAGACUCCUACGGGAGGCAGCAGUGGGGAAUAUUGAACAAUGGGCGCAAGCCUGAUGCAGACAUGCCGCGUGUAUGAAGAAGGCCUUCGGGUUGUAAAGUACUUUCAGCGAGGAGGAAGGGAGUAAAGUUAAUACCUUUGCUAAUUGACGUUACCCGCAGAAGAAGCACCGGCUAACUCCGUG
rnacentral:rRNA from 1 species